GACGAACGCUGGCGGCGUGCUUAACACAUGCAAGUCGAACGGAAAGGCCCUGCUUUUGUGGGGUGCUCGAGUGGCGAACGGGUGAGUAACACGUGAGUAACCUGCCCUUGACUUUGGGAUAACUUCAGGAAACUGGGGCUAAUAGCGGAUAGGAGCUCCUGCUGCAUGGUGGGGGUUGGAAGGUUUCGGCGGUGGGGGAUGGACUCGCGGCUUAUCAGCUUGUUGGUGGGGUAGUGGCUUACCAAGGCUUUGACGGGUAGCCGGCCUGAGAGGGUGACCGGCCACACUGAGACUGAGAUACGGCCCAGACUCAUACGGGAGGCAGGCGUGGGGAGUGAUGAACAAUGGGCGGAAGCCUGAUGCAGCAACGCCGCGUGCGGGAUGACUGCAUUCGGGUUGUAAACCGCUUUCGCCUGUGACGAAGCGUGAGUGACGGUAAUGGGUAAAGAAGCACCGGCUACCUACGU
rnacentral:rRNA from 1 species